CAAAAAAAGGGGCACAGUUUCAUGAUUUUUUUUCUGGGUUUCCUGCCAUUAGAUCCAAUUGGUUAACACUCAAUGCAACAUCAUAUAUGAUCAAGAAUACUGAAUCCAAUCAACCACAAACCAUUCAUACAAGUACUUGACAUUACAGAAAACAUUGUGGCUACUUCAUUUUUAUUACGAAUAUACCGAAAAUUUCUGUGGUAUUGUCACAAUACAUAAUGUAUUUAUUGAUCCUCCUCACAUUUUAACUGUAUGCAGGAUGACAGAAAAUUAACUAAACUAAUGUGAAAAGUUUAUACCCACGCCUCUAAACAGAUCAUAAGUAUUUUACUAGUGACAACAUAAAUGCAGCAUCAGAGAAUAUAGAGAAUAAUCAAU
rnacentral:misc_RNA from 1 species